GGGCCCGUAGUCUAGCCUGGAUUAGGACAUAGAGGUUAAAACAUGGAAGCCUUCGGAGCCUAAGAUCCGGGGUUCAAAUCCCCGCGGGCCCACCA
rnacentral:tRNA from 1 species